CCACAACCACACGGUCUGUGUUACGUGCAUGGCGCCACCGUGACUACUCGCCGUGGUCGGUAGCCAGAGGAAGAAGAUGACUCGGCAGCCUUACAUAUCCAAAUCCACGGCUCAGGUUACAUGAUGAGGAUACCCCUGAACAUGGACGGUCCUGCACGAGCCACCUACUCCUCCUCGCCUCUCUGCUGUGUCUCCUACCACGCCGUCGCCGCGCCAUCCAGAUCAGGGAGGUCAAGCUACCCCGUCAGCACGCCGUCCAGAUCAGGAACAGGAGGUCAGCGCUGUCCAGCCUACCGUGCCAUCCUGCCUACCAAUAUCAACCUCACUUUGUGAGCCUCCACGAGUUGAAUCGCUGCUGCUGCGGGAGGGGACUUAGGUGAGUGGAGGAGGCAGAUGAUUUCUUUGCAAUCGUAGAGAUUUUACUGACUGCUUGGUUUGGGUAAAGAGUUUUUGAGCUUUAUCAGUUUAUGCCGUUUCUGGCCAUGGAGAUGCACUUCUAUCACCUAGGUGCUAAUUGAAUGGCCAAUGCAUAAAAUGAUUGUUUCUAUAUUUUUCCUUUCCUAUAAGAGAUCGAUCUUGGCUGCC
rnacentral:lncRNA from 1 species